AUUGAACGCUGGCGGCAUGCCUUACACAUGCAAGUCGAACGGCAGCACGGGUGCUUGCACCUGGUGGCGAGUGGCGAACGGGUGAGUAAUACAUCGGAACGUACCUUAUCGUGGGGGAUAACGCAGCGAAAGUUGCGCUAAUACCGCAUACGCCCUGAGGGGGAAAGCGGGGGACCGUAAGGCCUCGCGCGAUUAGAGCGGCCGAUGUCUGAUUAGCUUGUUGGUGAGGUAAAAGCUCACCAAGGCGAUGAUCAGUAGCUGGUCUGAGAGGACGAUCAGCCACACUGGGACUGAGACACGGCCCAGACUCCUACGGGAGGCAGCAGUGGGGAAUUUUGGACAAUGGGGGCAACCCUGAUCCAGCAAUGCCGCGUGAGUGAAGAAGGCCUUCGGGUUGUAAAGCUCUUUUGUCAGGGAAGAAACAGCAGCUCUAACACAGUCUGCGAAUGACGGUACCUGAAGAAUAAGCACCGGCUAACUACGUGCCAGCAGCCGCCGCCG
rnacentral:rRNA from 1 species